CACGUAGGGGCGAGCGUUGUCCGGAAUUACUGGGCGUAAAGGGCGCGCAGGCUGUUAUGCGAGUCUGCUGUGAAAUGUACCGGCUCAACCGGUGCCUUGCGGCGGAUACUGCAUAGCUGGAGUACUGGAGAGGGAAGUGGAAUUCCCGGUGUAGCGGUGAAAUGCGUAGAUAUUGGGAGGAACACCGGUGGCGAAGGCGGCUUUCUGGCCAGUUACUGACGCUCAUGCGCGAAAGCUGGGGUAGCGAACCGGAUUAGAUACCCCGGUA
rnacentral:rRNA from 1 species